CUUGGAAGAAAAAUAUUUGGACGUCCAUGAAAAAGAUCUUGAGUCAGGCUCGACGCCGUUACAUAAAGCAUGUUAUUAUGGACGUUUGUCUUGUGCUUUAUUGUUGAUACAGGUAUGCAAAUUAUUCAAGCAUUCAUUUAGUAGUUGCAUAUUAACCCACUGCGUAUUAACCCUGUACUAAAUAGAACUGCAUUUCAUUAUUGAAUAGCAUGGAGCAAAUAUUUAUGCGAGAGAUUUUGAAGGCCUUUCUCCAAUUGAACUAUUGAUGCUUGAUUGUCCACAACUCUCUGUCAGUCAGUCACCAG